AGCCAUGCGAGUCGAGAGGGUUCGGCCCUCGGCUGACGGCUCAGUAACACGUGGAAAACUGCCCUUAGGUGGAGGAUAAUCUCGGGAAACUGAGGAUAAUACUCCAUAGAUCUAGGAUGCUGGAAUGCAUCUAGAUUGAAAGCUCAGGCGCCUAAGGAUGAGUCUGCGGACUAUCAGGUUGUAGUCAGGGUAAAGACCUGACUAGCCUACGACGGAUACGGGUUGUGAGAGCAAUAACCCGGAGACGAUAUCUGAGACACGAUAUCGGGCCCUACGGGGCGCAGCAGGCGCGAAAACUUCACACUGUGCGAAAGCGCGAUGAGGGAAUCCCAAGUGUUUGCUCGUAAGAGUAAACUGUUUCUUUGUUUAAAACGCAGAGAGAGUAAGGGCUGGGUAAGACGGGUGCCAGCCGCCGCGGUAAUACCUGCAGCUCGAGUGGUGAUCAUUAUUAUUGGGCCUAAAACGUCCGUAGCCGGUUUAGUAAAUGCCUGGGUAAAUCGUGUAGCUUAACUAUACGACUUCCGGGUAGACUGCUAAACUUGAGACCGGGAGAGGCUAUAGGUACUCCUGGGGUAGAGGUGAAAUUCUGUAAUCCU
rnacentral:rRNA from 1 species